GCAAGCCACAACUCCACAGCUUGAAGUACCUUGCUUCACCUUCCGAGGAAGGGAUAUUAGGACUCAGGUUACACAGGUGAUCGUUAACAAAGGACUUGGACUUUUAAGGACACUUAAAGGGAAAACAAACUACCUGAGCGAAUAGACAUACCAGUUGACCAGGAGCCAGAGAUUCCCUUCCCAUCUGAACCAGAAAGUUCCAUCUUGCCACUUCCCGUUGUUGUGCUCCUCGGUAGUCUAGGAGGGUUUCUGCUCAUUUCCAACUUGUUUUUGCUUGGCUGCCUCAUUUCCAGAAAGAGAGCUCAGACUCCCAAAGGAGAUGGGAUUGAAGGACCAGCCAGGGGGAAAGUGAGAUUCGGGAACAGCUACACGGUGAGCAAAUGGCUGAAGGUUGGUGGGCAACCAGCACAGCUUGAGGGGUACAGUUCAGAGGGCAGUUCUACUAAGACAUCAGCCACUGUCUCUACAGCCACCACAGAUACUAGUGUUACAGGUCCCAACAUCUUGCUCCCUUGGAUGGGCUCUCAAGAGCAUCAUGAAUAUGAGGAAGUAGGAGGUCCUAGGAGAUUGGAGGACAUGGGACCCCUGUAUGAUGAAUGGAACCCCGACGAUGAACCAUGGAUCAAUGAAUAUGCAGUGAGUACCUUGAGGGGAAGGGGAAUUCUGAGAUAGUCCUGUUGUGUGGUAGUCUGUGGUUUUUGAUCAAGGGUACAGUAGGUUGCUUUAUCAAUGGAGUUUUGUUGAUGGAGACUUCAGUGGAAGUAUUUAAUCAGUGGAACAACUUGCCUCCAGAACUUGUGAAUGCUCCAACACUGGAAGUUUUUAAGGAGAGAUUGGACAACCGUUUGUCUGAAAUGGUAUAGGGUUGCCUGCCUGGGCAGGGGGUUGGUCUAGAAGACCUCCAAGGUUCCUUCCAACUCUUGUAUUCUAUUCUAUUCUAUUCUGUUCUGUUCUGUUC
rnacentral:lncRNA from 1 species